GCGGGUUUAGCUCAGUUGGGAGAGCGUCAGGUCAGUUAUCUGAAGGUCGUGUGUUCGAUCCACACAAAUCGCA
rnacentral:tRNA from 1 species